CUCUGACGUUAGCGGCGGACGGGUGAGUAACACGUGGAUAACCUACCUAUAAGACUGGGAUAACUUCGGGAAACCGGAGCUAAUACCGGAUAAUAUAUUGAACCGCAUGGUUCAAUAGUGAAAGACGGUUUUGCUGUCACUUAUAGAUGGAUCCGCGCCGCAUUAGCUAGUUGGUAAGGUAACGGCUUACCAAGGCAACGAUGCGUAGCCGACCUGAGAGGGUGAUCGGCCACACUGGAACUGAGACACGGUCCAGACUCCUACGGGAGGCAGCAGUAGGGAAUCUUCCGCAAUGGGCGAAAGCCUGACGGAGCAACGCCGCGUGAGUGAUGAAGGUCUUCGGAUCGUAAAACUCUGUUAUUAGGGAAGAACAAAUGUGUAAGUAACUAUGCACGUCUUGACGGUACCUAAUCAGAAAGCCACGGCUAACUACGUGCCAGCAGCCGCGGUAAUACGUAGGUGGCAAGCGUUAUCCGGAAUUAUUGGGCGUAAAGCGCGCGUAGGCGGUUUUUUAAGUCUGAUGUGAAAGCCCACGGCUCAANCGUGGAGGGUCAUUGGAAACUGGAAAACUUGAGUGCGAAGAGGAAAGUGGAAUUCCAUGUGUAGCGGUGAAAUGGCAGAGAUAUGGAGGACACCAGUGGCGAAGGCGACUUUUGGUCUGUACUGACGCUGAUGUGC
rnacentral:rRNA from 1 species